UCGGUGAUCAUUACUCGCCCUCAUCAAAAGAGAAAACUAGAGAGCUCAAUGACUUUGUGUAUAAAUCACGUAGGAUACUCACUAAUACCUCGUUCUGUCUUUUUAUUUUUCUUUCACAUGCUAUUAUCACUAAUAUAUUAAACUCUGUCAACUUGACAAACAUAUUGUGCAUACCAGAUGCCCAUAUCCAUAGCCAUGGGGCAUUGAUUUCGAAUGGUUUCUUUGCUUUUAACAUCCAAGUUCGACUCGAGUGAACAUGUCGUUUGCUGGGCCUUGAUGCUCUAAUCAUGCAAGGGAAGAAGAUAAAUGACUGUUUUGGAAAUUUGCUAGUUUACAUCUGUUUGACUAAUACGAGGAUCUUCCUGAUCCAUGUCGACCGAGAGA
rnacentral:lncRNA from 1 species